GCAAGAUACCACGGGCGCACGGCGGAUGCCUUGGCACAGGGAGCCGAUGAAGGACGCGGCAAGCUGCGAUAAUCCCCGGCGAGGAGCACACAUCCUUCGACCCGGGGGUCUCCGAAUGGGCGAACCCAUGCACAGCGGUGUGCAUAUCCCCGGCCCGAACACAUAGGGCCGGGGAGGACAACCCGGGGAACUGAAACAUCUAAGUACCCGGAGGAGAGGAAAUCAAUCUCGAGACUCCCCGAGUAGCGGCGAGCGAAAGGGGACCGAUGGCCAAACCGUCGAGCGGGCAUACCCGGCAGGGGUUCCGCCGACGGGGUUGCAGGGCCGCGCAUCCGGGGGCUGCCGCCCCCGGGCGCAGGUCCGGCUGGGGAGCGGAACGGCAUGGGAGGGCCGGCCGCAGCGGGUGACAGCCCCGUACGCGAACCCAGACCGGACGGCGCGACGCGGUCCCUGAGUAGGGCCGGGCACGUGAAACCCGGUCCGAACCUGGGUGGACCACCAUCCAAGCCUGAGUACUACCCUGUGACCGAUAGCGCACCAGUACCGUGAGGGAAAGGUGAAAAGCACCCCGGGAGGGGAGUGAAACAGUACCUGAAACCGUGCGCCCACGAGCAGUCGGAGCAACUUUACGUUGUGACGGCGUGCCUUUUGUAGAAUGAGCCAGCGAGUCGCUGGCGCGGGGCGAGGUUAACCGAAAGGGAGCCGGAGCGAAAGCGAGCCUUAACAGGGCGACUUGAGUCCCGCGCCGCGGACGCGAAGCCGGGUGAGCUAUCCGUGGGCAGGCUGAAGCGGGGGUAAGACCCCGUGGAGGGCCGAACGCACGUCGGUUGAAAACGGCGGCGAUGACCUGCGGAUAGGGGUGAAAGGCCAAUCAAACCCGGAGAUAUCUCGUUCUCCCCGAAAUAGCUUUAGGGCUAGCGUCGCGCGUUCACCGCCGGAGGUAGAGCACCGGAUGGACGAGGGGGCUUCGCCGCCUACCGAAUCCAACCGAACUCCGAAUGCCGGCGGCCCAGAGCGCGGCAGUCAGAGCAUGUGGGCUAAGCUGUGUGCUCGAGAGGGAAACAGCCCGGACCGCCCGCUAAGGUCCCCAAGUUCCAGCCGAGUGGCAAAGGAUGUGCGUCCGCCCAGACAACCAGGAUGUUGGCUUAGAAGCAGCCAUCCAUUCAAAGAGUGCGUAACAGCUCACUGGUCGAGUGGACAUGCGCCGACAAUACACGGGGCUAAGCUGGACACCGAAGCGGCGGGAUUUUAAUUCAUUAGAAUCGGUAGGGGAGCUUCCCAUGGGCGGAGAAGCCGGAGGGCGACCGACGGUGGAGCGCAUGGGAGUGAGAAUGCUGGCAUGAGUAGCGAGAGACGAGAGAGUAACUCGUCCGCCGUGAACCCGAGGUUUCCUGGGCAAGGCUAAUCCUCCCAGGGUCAGUCGGGGGCUAAGGCGAGGCCGGUAGGCGUAGCCGACGCGCAGCAGGCAGACAUUCCUGCACCGCGCACGCGGCGCUACGACCGACGGGGCGACGGAUGGGGGUGGCUCGGCGGGGUUCUGGACGUCCCCGUGAUGGAGCGCGGCCCGCGGACCAGGGAAAUCCGGUCCGCAUGAAGGGCGAGGCUCCGGACGAAGCGAUUGAGCGAAGCGAGUGAGCCCGAGGUCCCUAGAAAAACCCCUAGGCAGGCGCGUGCGCGCCCGUACCGCAAACCGACACAGGUGGGUGGGUAGAACAUACCGAGGCGAUCGGGUCAACCAUGGUCAAGGAACUCGGCACAAUGGCCCCGUAACUUCGGGAGAAGGGGUGCCCGCGCGUACGUGAACCGGCUCGCCCGGGGAGCGGAGGCGGGCCGCAGUGGAGAGGCCCAAGCGACUGUUUACCAAAAACACAGGACUCUGCAGAAGCCGCAAGGCGACGUAUAGGGUCUGACGCCUGCCCGGUGCCGGAAGGUCACGCGGAGGAGUUAGCCGUCAAGGCGAAGCCCCGAAGCCAAGCCCCGGUAAACGGCGGCCGUAACUAUAACGGUCCUAAGGUAGCGAAAUUCCUUGUCGGGU
rnacentral:rRNA from 1 species